CUGGGUUUGCAGAUACAAAACCACUUUUUACACAAAACCCUAACUUCUUCAUCUUCUUUUCCACCUCCUUCGCCACCACCAACUCUUGUUUCACCACCAUCUGCUUCUGACGCUUUGGAUCCCCGAAAGAUACUACUGAUAACGGAAUGAAGAUUGAGCUAUUCGUGGUUGUUUUUGGAAUUAUGUGAGAUUGAAGUAGAAGCUAUUCAGGAUGUCCUAGGUUUUACUCUGGUGUUGUUUUAAUGAUCAAAUAACAUCGGACUUGGGUUAUAAUGGAAGUUCAAGUGAAGAUGAACUAUUGAAGUGUGCAGAGGUUGAGCAUUUUACAAAAUAUGAUCAACUUCAUUAUUUAGAAGUCAUGUCACAACACCAAGACGAUGAGACCAGAAUGGAAUGCUGACUGCAGAGUAGUAAUACAGUAAUGAAAGAAUCCAAAUCCUGAAGAAGAUGUUUAUGCAUGGCUUGGAUAUAGUUUCAAAAGUUUCUUUUCGACUUCAAAAGGUGAAAUCACUAAUGCAAAAUGAAAAACUGGGGAAAGCUUUCAGGCAUGUGGUUAGAUAAAAUUUAAACUCAUAGACGAAUUCGGUAAACUUCCUAAAUUCUAGAUCCCAAUAUAUCCCACUUUAUAAAGUCGCUUCUUUGAAUUGUCUUCCAUAGUUGGAUUAAGAAGUUAAUUGGCUUACAAAAACGAUUGUCUUUGUCUAUAAUAUGACACAUAGAGAUAUUUUAUAAAUUACAGUAUACGUCUACGAGAAAUGGAUGUUUGCUAAUUGUUCUUUCUCCAAUUUAGAGAGAACUUACAGUAAUAUUUGAUUGAGAACAAAGUCUAAGAUAGUUUGUUGUUUCUAACUUUCUACAUUUUACUUAGCAAUUGGGUUGUCACACGACUUCACAUGGAUAACAUGUAUUCAUAUUGAUUUGUGCUCUCAUGAUAUUGUUGCGGUUGGAGAUUAGUUCUUAUAUUAUUUUUUAACAUAUAUAUGGACGGACAUGAUUUAGCCAUGGAAGCAUGUGAUGUUGCAUUAGCAGUAGAACAACUCUAGAAUAUUUGGUGUAUAACUCCAAAUUUAUCUUUUAAUAUCACCCAUGUCACGUAAAAGUGUGUAUACUCAUACUAAUGCUUCUUAAGAACAGAACCUAUAUAUAAAUAAAGGAAACACUAGGAGUUACUGUUGCUUCCAACGGAAGCUUGCAGCUGAUAAGUGUCUAUAGUGGAAAAGAUGCCAGAAUUACAAGAAUGUAUCGAUGCCGAUUAAAUGGCUUCAGAUACUCUCAAUUCUCAAUACGGCUACAAUGAGUUACUGAUAAGUGUCUUGAUCCAUAAAUAAGGUAAGUGUCCUCUUUUAUAUUUUCCUGUGGUUGAAUAUGCAAGAUUACACUAAAUUCUAAUAUUGAAUUUUAGCACAAGAUAAAUUUCAAAAUGGAUCUCAUGCCAAGUAAAUUUUCAGUUUAAUUCAAGUUGAUUUUUUUUUUCCAUUUGUUUUAUGUUACUAUGAAAAUUUUAUUUUUUUGGUGCUUGAAUCGUAUGAUAAUUUACUGGAAUUUUCCCAUUUUUGUUUAGGUAGUUCUCUAAUUUGUCGAAUUUAUGGUAGUUGUUGUGUUUUGUUUUAGUUCCAUAAAAUGGAGAUCAAAAUAGGGUUUAGGAAGAACAGAAAGACUCAGUUAAAGUAAAGUUGGAUUAUAUAGUAUUGCAUUGGGCCUUUCUACAGCCCUGCUCUGUUGAGUCUCGCAUAAACAGAUUCCACUUGCUUUCAGACAUCUUCAAAGUUUGUAACACACAAAAUAUUAGUAUGAUAUGGUUUUGGUUUUGUAAAACAGGUGUCUUAUGAGAUGAUUUUAAACUUCUCUUCUUUGAUGUCUUUUCAACAGUUUUCAUCUACGCUAGAAGAUCUCACCAACAUUAGAUAAACACCGACAAUUCACCUCAGGAUCUGUUAUGGUAAAAGCUUCAUGAGGUCAGACUUCUUCAAAUUGUAGCCUAACUCAUUUUAGACCUUUUUAUGGUUCAUUGGGUAGCAUGGCGAAAAAAUACCCCACACCCUGGAAAUUCUCAUUUAAUGUCAGUAGAUGAAAAGCUCUUGGAAAUGGUUCCAAGACGUCUUCAUACUGUUCUGUAAGGGGAAUAAAGAUUCUAUCGGAUCAGGGUAUACUGGUAUAGGAUGGAAGCAAAUGAAGCAAAUAAAAUAUAUGACUUUCCGUAGGUUCCAACAGCUGACUCAAUGAAGAUGGACGAUAACAUUUACUACCAGAAUACAGACCUCAUUAUACUAUACCAUUGGAACCUCAUGCUAUGCUGAUAACGACAAAUACAUGCUACUCCUCUUUAUGUAUGCCAUUGUGGAUUGUCGUCGAGAAUCACGGAUUAAGGGGAAGUGAUGCUUCACACGGUUAAUAGAACUAUAUGCAUUUUCACAUUCAAAAAUGUAAGAAAAAAAAAGAAAAGAAAGAAACAAAGAAAAAAAUCUAAUUAUGGGUUUAUCCUUCAAUUUUUUGUUGUUUAUGCAACUAGAUUAAUAGCGGGAUUGCUGAAUACAUUAGCAUUUCAAUUUUUUGCA